GCCCUGCAACUUGGCUACGCAGAGCCCGCACGGGUCUCACCCUAAUUUUCCUCCAGGAGUUGGACUAAGCGGAGGCCAAGAUCCCAAACGCCCCCAAAAUGCCUCCAAGGAGAAAGGAUUAUAAUGAAGAGUAAGAAUUAAUCCAUGUAAAGCCUACAGAGUAUGCCUGGCAGACAGAAGGGACCAGACUGGUGAAUUAAUUGAAGAUACAAUGGAGACUAUGACAUUUGCUUCCUUUAGCUCUUUGUUGUCCAAUAUGGUAGCCACUAGCCCCAACCCAACUCUUCACACCUUUGUGUACAAGGUCACCAAAAUCUGCACUCAAGCAAGCCAUCCACAGAUAAAAACAUACAGCCAGUAGCAAAACAAAAAGUUGGUCCAGACACAUCAAAGACUCCAGUCCACCCCUUCAACUUCCAGCUAAUUCUCCUUCGUGCCUGUUUGUCUGUGGCUAGAGUGUGAAGCUUCCUCUUUAGAACCUGGGAAGAAACAGCCUCAUGUAAACUUGGGUGCAAUCUCUACGAAGAACCACAAUUUUUGAUGCAAGAAAGAAAAUACAGAUUUGUAGUUUGAUAGUUCCAAAUUUGAAUUAGAAAUAUCAGUAUGAACACUCUAUAUACAUAGCUUUGUCCAGUGAAAAGACCUUGAGUGACCAACGCAAUAGUCACGAGCGUUCCUAGUUCAUGGUGCUCUCUAAUUUCCAUUUCUCAUUAAAGAAACCCAAAUUCUUGGAGAAAUAGGUGGAGACUGCCGGAUGCUGGGGAAAUGGUGGGAUCCAUGGAUUGGAGGUAAAUGUGAAGAAAACAAACUAUUGAGAUCGGCAUGGUUGAGCCAGUGACCUGGAAGGUGAGGUGGUUAUUGGAGAGCUGGGUUUGAGGUUUCUAAGAUGGUAAUUUUUUGGUCGUGCAGAGGUCUAAAAUUAAAAUUACUAAAAAUUAAAAAAAGGAGAGAGAGAGGAAAGAGUCUUCCAGGGGUGCUCAUCACAGAGUGGGGGUUCAGGAGGGCACAGAGGCUGGGACUGUGGCAGGUCAGGGAGGCAGACAGUAGUGUUGGACUGAAGGAAGGAAGUGGGUGGAGGAAACAAGCUCUGAUGGAAUUGUCUCAUGAUCUCUUUGUGGAAGGAAACAUUUCUUCUUAAACUGCUUUAUUGUGGCAUAACUGACAUACAAUGAAACGCGUAUGUUUAAAGUGAUCAGUUUAAGAAGAGCAAAGUCUUUAGGUAGAAUGACAGACCCAUGCCCUGAGCAGAGGGGAGCUCCCAGAGUCUUUCUCACUGCAGUCAGUCCUCCGGACAUUUAGUUCAUGCCAGGGUCAUCUCCUUGUUCUAAUUGUGCUUUAAUUGCUUUCAAAGUAUAUUUGCAUAUGGCCUGCAAAUAAUGCAGAUUUUAGCUCUUUCUGCUAAGUAUUACACUUUUUUCUUUCUCUAUUUUUUGAACUUUGGUCAGAAUCUCUAGUACACUCAUUCAAAAAAUAUUUAUUGACAGCCAACUACGUGCUAAGCAAACAUUUUUGAGGUCUCUGCCCUCAAAAAGCUUACAAUCUAUUUGCAAAAAGAGGCUGUAUAUUAAACAGCAGUGAUGCAAGUGACCAUUUGUAUUAUGUUAACCAUAGUUAACAUAUAAUAUACAGCUGUUAACCUUUACCAGGUGAAGCAACUUUCCUUCUAUCUUUGAUUAUUGAAAGUUAUUUUUUAGGUUUAUUAUAAACAGCACUGAACUUUACCAAAAGCUCUUUUUGUCUCUCUUUGGAUAAUUCUAUGAUUUUUCUCACUGAGUCUAUUAAUGUGAUAAAUUACAUUUUUAGAUUUCUUGUUAUUGAAUUAUUCUUGCAUUACCAGGAUAAACUGUGCUUGAUAAUGAUUUAUUUUUAAAGAGACAUUUGAUUUAGUUUAAUUCAGUUCAUUGCUAUUUUUAAACAGCUUUAUUGAGGUACAACUGACAUUGACAGUGAGCUCCAAAUGUCUAAGCUGAUAAGCUUUGACAUAUGUGUGUGAAGCCAUCAUCACAGUCAGGAUAAUGAACGUAUCUAUGACUCUCAAAGUUUCCUCGGGAGCAUUCAUUUCUAACGCAUCACUUGGGUUAUGGCUGCUUUGGGGGCACCUGCCCACUAUGGUGGGACCUGGUGGUGCGGGGGGCCCAAUGGUGGCAGUGGUGCUGCCUCAGUGGUGGCUGGGUGGCUGUGAGCUGUUCCCUCAGACUGCACUCAUGGCUCAUUCUUUCUCAUCCUUGGCCCUCAGCAGAGACCACAUAGCUCAGAAGCCCUCUAACACCUCCAGACGAGAGUGGCUGCUCCUGUUCUGAUCUCCCACUGCACUGACCCUAUCGGUGGUCUCCUUUUAUGUUACUGGCGGUUUAAUUGUCUCCCUAUCCAGAUAGACUGUAAGCUCUUUGAGGGCAGAGACCAACUCUGUGUUUGUUUAGCACUAUAUUUCCCAGCAUCUUGAGCAUAGUAGGCCUUCAGUAAAUAUUUUUGGAUGAAUUAAUGAAUGAAUGAAUCAACCAAUCAGCAUUUUAAGUGUUGAAGACGCAAAGGUGAAUGAACAUUGGAUCCAGCCCUAGAAGGCACACAGCCUAAUGGAGGAGCAGAAAGGUUAACAGAUGCAUUCGUUUCUAUGAAGAGCAGUAAGUGCUGUGACAGAAUCCAGUAUGGUGCAGGCACAAAAGGACUGGUUAUCUGUUCUUACAGGGGACAUGGUCUGAGAAGGCUACAGGGUGGGUGCAGAGCCUGAGUCAGGGCGACUAAACUAGGACUGAGGGUUAUGGCUGCUACAAGCUGAUUAAUGACUCCCAAAGAUGUCAUAUCCUCCCCUAUGAAACCUGUGAAUAUAUUACCUUACAUAGUAAAAGGGACUUUGAGGACAUGAUUAAGUUAAGAAUCUUGAGAUGGGAAAAUUUUCCUGCAUUGUCUGGGUCGGCCCAAUGAGAUCACAGGGUCCUUACAAGAGGGAGCCGUGACUGUCAGGGAAAUGUGCAGCUGCUGUGUGCUGACGCUGACGAUGGAGGAGGAGGCCACAGCCAAGGAACGCAGGCAGCCUCUCGCAGUGGGAAAAGGGAAGGAAGGGGAUUCUCCCCAGAGCCUCCAGAAGGAACUCAGCUCUGCUUCUAUCUUGAUUUUAGCUCCAUAUGACCCAUUGCAGGCUUCUGACAUCUGAA